UGCAGUGGGGACAGGAUGGCCAUUAUGGAGCAUAUGGGUUGUGUGCUGGGUUCCUGCAGCGAAGCGCUGUCACUUAUGGGAUCCUCAGUUCCUCCCUUCUCCCCGGGGUGACCGGAUUCCCCAAGUUUUCUGAAUAGUUCAGAAGCUGUCUCAGCUCAUGGCCCCUGACUUCUCAGCGUAGCUCUUUCUGGAAGUCUGACCACAUUUUCUGUUGGUAACAGCAGUGUCACAGACCAGGCCCCCUCGCUCCUUGAACCUGUCUGGUGCCCUGGGACUACGGACCAUGCCUCACCAACUCUGCUCUGCUGGGGAAGAAAAUCUGCUCCACUUGCAGGAUACUUAAGUCCAGCACUGGAGGAAGCAUAAUUGAAAGAGCCCACAGCUGAGGCCAAGGCAUAAAGACCCUUGCUUCCAUGUGAGAAUGACUGAGAAUACUGUCUUGGUUGCGUAAAAGUCAUCAUGAAGAGAAUCAGGGACCUCUGCAUCUCCAAGUGUAUUUCUACCUCCCAGCUGUGAACCCAGAAUAGGGCAUCCAUUGAAUAAACAAUGAUUCCAUACUUCUAUGUGGUGCUUC
rnacentral:lncRNA from 1 species